rnacentral:rRNA from 1 species
UACGUAGGUGGCAAGCGUUGUCCGGAAUUACUGGGUGUAAAGGGAGCGCAGGCGGGAAGCCAAGUCAGCUGUGAAAACUACGGGCUUAACUUGUAGACUGCAGCUGAAACUGGUUUUCUUGAGUGAAGUAGAGGUUGGCGGAAUUCCGAGUGUAGCGGUGAAAUGCGUAGAUAUUCGGAGGAACACCGGUGGCGAAGGCGGCCAACUGGGCUUUAACUGACGCUGAGGCUCGAAAGUGUGGGGAGCAAACAGG